GCACUGCUGAUGAGUCCCACAAUAGGACGAAACGACCGUCCAGCGC
rfam:Schistosoma haematobium scaffold598_6, whole genome shotgun sequence.